AAACUCAAAGGAAUUGACGGGGACCCGCACAAGCGGUGGAUGAUGUGGAUUAAUUCGAUGCAACGCGAAAAACCUUACCUACCCUUGACAUGUACGGAAUCCUGCUGAGAGGUGGGAGUGCCUGAAAGGGAACCGUAACACAGGUGCUGCAUGGCUGUCGUCAGCUCGUGUCGUGAGAUGUUGGGUUAAGUCCCGCAACGAGCGCAACCCUUGUCAUUAAUUGCCAUCAUUUAGUUGGGCACUUUAAUGAGACUGCCGGUGACAAACCGGAGGAAGGUGGGGAUGACGUCAAGUCCUCAUGGCCCUUAUGGGUAGGGCUUCACACGUCAUACAAUGGCCGGUACAGAGGGUUGCCAACCCGCGAGGGGGAGCCAAUCCCAGAAAGCCGGUCGUAGUCCGGAUUGUUCUCUGCAACUCGAGAGCAUGAAGUCGGAAUCGCUAGUAAUCGCGGAUCAGCAUGUCGCAGUGAAUACGUUCCCGGGUCUUGUACACACCGCCCGUCACACCAUGGGAGUGGGUGAUACCAGAGGUAGGCAGUCUNNNNNNGNAGGGGGGCGCUUACCACGGUAUGAUUCAUGANUNNNNNNNGNNCGUAACAA
rnacentral:rRNA from 1 species